UACAGAGGUCCCAAGCGUUGUUCGGAUUCAUUGGGCGUAAAGGGCGCGUAGGCGGCGCGAUAAGUUGGGCGUGAAAGGCCCGGGCUCAACCCGGGGACUGCGCUUGAUACUGUCGCGCUGUGAGUCCGGGAGAGGAUGGCGGAAUUCCCAGUGUAGAGGUGAAAUUCGUAGAUAUUGGGAAGAACACCGGUGGCGAAGGCGGCCAUCUGGACCGGCACUGACGCUGAGGCGCGAAAGCGUGGGGAGCAAACAGG
rnacentral:rRNA from 1 species